GGAGGCCCAGAAACGACACUGCGCGGCGGGAGUCUGCGCCAUGGCGGUCGCGGGGUUUCUAGGUCGCGCUCCGGCUACAGCGUGGAGAACGGCAAUGUUAAAACUUAUGAAGCAUUUGAUACCAAAAGAUUAUACAACACGUGUAAGUUAUGAAGCAAAGCCAACAUUUACAAACCCAUUCUCCAGUAUAAGAAGUAGAAUAUUUCUAUUGCCAAGCAACUUCCUGUGUGCUGCUUCCGGAUGAAGAUGUGUAACUUUGCAUGUUUUUUAUCUUUAUAGAAAUGGCUUCACACCAUUUUUAUUUUUAUUUUGCUGCUUUUUUCAACUGUGUAUUUUGAGAUUCAUCCAUAGUGAUGUUAGAGGUUGCUCAACUGUGAAAAUAUAUCAUAUGUUCUUCCAUUCUCCUCAGUGAGCAUUUGGAUAAUUCUAGAAACACCAGGUUUGGUUGCUACACAUUCUUACCUGUUAUGGGUGCUCUCGUGCAAGGAAUGGAAUUCCUGGAACAUAUUGUAUAGGGCUGUUCAGUUUUACAGUCCGAUGCCAGUUAUAAAGGCAUUCAUUGUCCAUUCUUACUGGCAGCUCACACUUCUACCAGCAGUAUAUGAGUUCCUGUUGCUCCACAUACUUGCCAACACUUGAUAUCAUCAGAAAUUUUCAUUUUUGUGUGACUCUAGGAUGCUGAAAUAGUAUCUUACUGCAAUUUUGCUUUCCUAUUGUUAGAGGAAUUAAAAAUCUUUUAAAAUUUUGUUCGCUUUGUUCUGAAAUAUCUUUAUUUUCUUCAUGGAUUAUUUGUCUUAUUUAUAUUUUUCACAUAUAUUUGAAUACUAAGCCUUUUUUAGUUAUGUAAGUGGCACGUAGCUCAGUUUGUGGGCUAUUUUUGUCACUCGUAUGGUGUCUCUUUUUUUAAGUCAUGUAAGACAGUAGACAGAAUACAGUAAUGAAUCUGUAUGUACAAUCACUCAGCUUCAAAAGUGUCUUGAUUCAUAAU